rnacentral:lncRNA from 1 species
UUUAGGGGGAGUUUGUUCUUAAAUUUUAUUUAUAAGUUGAAGUCAUGUAUGCCAUGUAUUAAGGGGGAGUUUAAUGUCAAAAUACAUGAGAUGUUUGUCAUCAUCAAAAAGGGGGAGAUUGUUAGCCUAAAGGGCUACACAUAAUGUAAUUUUGAUGAUAACAAACAUGUGUCUUAAGUAAAAAUAAUAAAUAUUGUAUUUCACAUUUUCACUAGUUUUUUAAGGAUAAUAUUUAUGCA